UGGGGAAUAUUGAACAAUGGGCGAAAGCCUGAUCCAGCCAUGCCGCGUGUGUGAAGAAGGUCUUCGGAUUGUAAAGCACUUUAAGCUGGGAGGAAGGGCAUUAACCUAAUACGUUAGUGUUUUGACGUUACCGACAGAAUAAGCACCGGCUAACUCUGUGCAAGCAGCCGCGGUAAUACAGAGGGUGCAAGCGUUAAUCGGAAUUACUGGGCGUAAAGCGCGCGUAGGUGGUUUGUUAAGUUGGAUGUGAAAUCCCCGGGCUCAACCUGGGAACUGCAUUCAAAACUGACUGACUAGAGUAUGGUAGAGGGUGGUGGAAUUUCCUGUGUAGCGGUGAAAUGCGUAGAUAUAGGAAGGAACACCAGUGGCGAAGGCGACCACCUGGACUAAUACUGACACUGAGGUGCGAAAGCGUGGGGAGCAAACA
rnacentral:rRNA from 1 species